CGUGUCCGACUCUUUGCGACCCCGCAGAAUGUAGCCUGCCAGGCUCCUCAUGAGCUAUGGGAUGAUUGGCAAUGAGAAGUGGAGAAGAGCAGUCCAACCAGACAACUAGCAGAAGUUUAGAUCACGCCCAAGCGUAGAGACAGAUACCCAGCUCCUUUCUUGGUGCGCAUGCACCUUGAGAACUCAGGCUCCCCUCUCAUCAGAGUUGGGGGUUUGGAAGCAGAUCCAGAAUGGAAGGGAAGGUACAAGAUUUGAGAACACGUUUUGCACUUACUUCUAAACGCGAGCUGGAGAGACAGGAGGUCUCACUCAGAGAGUGCAGUGCCUGGAGGGGUUGUGGUGACUGGUAUCGAGAAAGUCUAGAGAAUGACCACAGAGAGUGAACGACUACCCUCCUCCCAGCUGCAGCCCAUACGUAUGGCCCCAGCUUUCUUGGACUCCUAUCACAUGAGGGGAAGCCCAUCUCUGCUCCAGUUUCACCUGUAGAGCCUGGCUCCUGGCUCCCAGCCUUGAGGGCAAAAAGCUGCAAGGCAGGAUGGGAAAUAUAGUGGCAUCACUACCAGAUUCCUUACAGUGACUGGACCAAAUUUCAGCUGGAUCAAAGAUGUGAAGGUAAAAAGAGAACCUAAUGUGAUGCCUCUUCUUAAACUGAUGACAUCUAACAAC